GAACUCGGCAAAUUAGCACCGUAACUUCGGGAUAAGGUGCGCCCUGACAGGUUGUAGCCCCUCGCGGGUGAAGGCCGAAAGGGUUGCAGUGAAAUGGUGGCUGCGACUGUUUAAUAAAAACACAGCACUCUGCAAACACGAAAGUGGAAGUAUAGGAUGUGACGCCUGCCCAAUGCUGGAAGGUCACGGGGAACGGUUAGUCGUAAGGCGAAGCUGUGAACCUAAGCCCCAGUGAAUGGCGGCCGUAACUAUAACGGUCCUAAGGUAGCGAAAUUCCUUGUCGGGUAAGUUCCGACCUGCACGAAUGGCGUAACGACUUCCCCACUGUCUCAACCAUAGACCCGGCGAAAUUGAAGUACGAGUAAAGAUGCUCGUUAGCUGCGGAAGGACGAAAAGACCCCAUGGACCUUUACUAUAACUUGAUAUUGAGCUUUGUCCUGCAUUGUGUAGGAUAGGUGGGAGACUUGGAAGCGGUGGCGCCAGCUAUCGUGGAGUCAACGUUGAAAUACCACCCUGUGUAUGACGGGGCUCUAACCUGGGUCCAUUAUCUGGAUCAGGAACAGUGUCAGGCGGGUAUUUUGACUGGGGCGGUCGCCUCCUAAAAUGUAACGGAGGCGCCCAAAGGUUCCCUCAGGCUGGUUGGCAAUCAGCCGUCGAGUGCAAUGACACAAGGGAGCUUGACUGCGAGACUGACAGGUCAAGCAGGUGCGAAAGCAGGGCAUAGUGACCCGGCCAUCACGUGUGGAAGUGUGGUCGCUCAACGGAUAAAAGGUACCCUGGGGAUAACAGGCUAAUCUCCCCCAAGAGUCCAUAUCGACGGGGAGGUUUGGCACCUCGAUGUCGGCUCAUCGCAUCCUGGGGCUGAAGCAGGUCCCAAGGGUUGGGCUGUUCGCCCAUUAAAGCGGUACGCGAGCUGGGUUCAGAACGUCGUGAGACAGUUCGGUCUCUAUCCUCCGCAGCCGAAGGUGUAUUGAGGAAGGCUGUCCCUAGUACGAGAGGACCGGGACGGACGGAGCUCUGGUGUGUCUGUUGUCCUGCCAAGGGCAUUGCAGAUUAGCCACCUCCGGAAGGGACAACUGCUGAAAGCAUCUAAGUAGGAAACCCGUUCCAAGAUGAGUACACCCAUGCGGUUAACGCAGUAAGGCCCGUGACAAGACCAUCACGUUGAUAGGCCGGAGGUGUAAGCACGGUAACGUGUGUAGCCGACCGGUACUAAUCGGCCGAGGGCUUGGAUU
rnacentral:rRNA from 1 species